AGAACAAUGUAGGUAAGGGAAGUCGGCAAGUUCGAUCCGUAACUUCAGGACAAGGAUUGGCUGUGAGGACUGGGCCCGUCGGGCUGGGGUCCGAAGCGGGUGUGGCACUGCACAGGACUGGGCGAGACAGGCCGUGAAAGCGGCCCGGACAAGCGUCGGGGCCUUCCCGUGGAAUGCCUCAGCUGCGCGGCGUACCGGGCACAAAGCUCAGAGCGACCGUUUCGGCGGGCAACUAACAGCCAACUCAGAACUGGCACAGAUUAAGGGAAUUCCACUGAAUACACUCUUU
rnacentral:rRNA from 1 species